UCCCUAGUGGUCCAGUGGUUAAGACUCUGCACUUCCAAUGUAGUGCCCAUAGGUUCGAUCCCUGGUUGGGAAA
rnacentral:tRNA from 1 species